UCGAUUAUCACUUUGAUGACGCUUUGGGUGCAUUUCCGGCGUUGCUGACCAGAUUUCCGGUAAAAUUUGUUUUCAAAGUUACACCUAGGGUUUGAUACCUAGGGUUUCUCUACUGUUUGAAGGCCGAUCUUCUCCGGUCGCGAAGAAGGAGGGUAACUCUGUCCUUAUCUUCGAUAUUAUAUGUGAUUAUUUGACUCUGUUAUUGUGUGAUACCUAGGGUUUCUCUACUGUUUGAAGGCCGAUCUUUUCCGGUCGCGAAGAAGGAGGGUAGCUCUGUCCUUAUCUUCGAUAUUAUAUGUGAUUAUUUGACUCUGUUAUUGUGAGCAUCUGGUGUUGUCUAUGAAUAUUUGACCUGGCUGUAGUCUGUUUGUUGGUUGCUGUGUUGGAAUACGUGUUUUGGUAGUAUUCUGUUUGUUGAAAAGUUAUUCAUUUAAGCCAGUUCAUUAUGGCUUCUAGCACAAACACUGGUGCCUCUACUGCUGUAGAUUCUUCUAGUCCCCUUUUUGUGUACUCGUCUGAUGUCCCUGGGGUAUCACUUGUUCCCACUCCCUUCUCGGGUAGUGGUUAUGGGGGCUGGAGCUCGUCUGAUGUCCCUGGGGUAUCACUUGUUCCUACUCCCUUCUCGGCUAGUGGUUAUAGGGGCUGGAAACGCAAAAUGAUUGUUGCCUUAACAGCCAAAAACAAAAUCAGUUUUGUUGAUGGCACAUACACCCGACAUGCCACCAAUGUGGCUCAACAAAGGUUGUGGGAGGUGCAAGAGCAUGGUGAUCUCUUGGUUGAUUGCUUCUCUUUCCCCUGCAAUUGCUGAAUCUGUGCAGUAUGCUGAUACUGCACAGUCCAUAUGGUCUCAACUUCAGACCAGAUAUGGGACUGCAAAUAGGACCAAAAUAUAUGAACUCAAAAGAGAGAUGUCCCACACCUCUCAAGGGUCCUCAGAUGUAGCUUCUUAUUUCAACAAACUGAAAAGUGUGUGGGAUGAACUUGAUUCUAUGUGUGCUAAUCAUGGUCUAAGGUGUGUAUGUGCUGCAAANNNNNN
rnacentral:lncRNA from 1 species